GACCAAGGAGUCUAACAUGUGCGCGAGUCAUUGGGUCUUGAUUAGGCCCAAAGGCGCAAUGAAAGUGAAGGGCGGUUCGGCCGUCUGCCUUGGGAUCCCGCGGGCCUCGCGCUCGUGGGCGCACCAAGGGCCCGUCCCGGUCGCCUCGUCGACGGGGCGGAGCAAGAGCGUACACGUUGGGACCCGAAAGAUGGUGAACUAUGCCUGGGCAGGACGAAGCCAGAGGAAACUCUGGUGGAGGUCCGCAGCGAUUCUGACGUGCAAAUCGAUCGUCAGACCUGGGUAGGGGCGAAAGACUAAUCGAACCAUCUAGUAGCUGGUUCCCUCCGAAGUUUCCCUCAGGAUAGCUGGCGCUCGGAGGAUGCAGUCUCAUCCGGUAAAGCGAAUGAUUAGAGGCCUUGGGGUCGAAAAGACCUCAACCUAUUCUCAAACUUUAAAUGGGUGAGAAGUCCGGUUUGCUCGACUGAAGCCCGGACGGCAACUUGGAUGCGAGUGCCAAGUGGGCCACUUUUGGUAAGCAGAACUGGCGCUGUGGGAUGAACCAAACGCCGGGUUAAGGGGCCCGAUGCGAGACGCUCAUGAGAUCCCAUGAAAGGUGUUGGUUGCUAUAGACAGCAGGACGGUGGCCAUGGAAGUCGGAAUCCGCUAAGGAGUGUGUAACAACUCACCUGCCGAAGCAACUAGCCCUGAAAAUGGAUGGCGCUUCAGCGUCGACCCUAUACCCGGCCGCCGCGGCCGAAAAGCCUGGUGUUUUAAGCCGCGGUGAGUAGGAGGGGCGCGGAGGCGAGCGUCGAAGGUGCCGGGCGUAAGCCCGCCUGGAGCCGCCUCCGGCGCAGAUCUUGGUGGUAGUAGCAAAUACUCAAGUGAGAACCUUGAGGACUGAGGUGGAGAAGGGUUCCAUGUGAACAGCAGUUGAACAUGGGUCAGUCGGUCCUAAGGGAUAGGAGAAAUCCGUUCCGAGGCGGGACCUAACUUACUGUAAGCGAGUCCCGCUGAUGACCGAAAGGGAAUCGGGUUAAUAUUCCCGAACCCGGACACGGAGAUCGUCCUCUUCGGAGGUACAUUGCGGUAACGCAAACGAGCUCGGAGACGUCGACGGGAGCACCGGGAAGAGUUAUCUUUUCUUUGUAAGGAUUCGACUCCCUGGAAUCGGCUCGCCCGGAGAUAGGGAUGGUGUUUCCGUAAAGCACCGCGCCUCUUGCGGUGUCCGGAUCGCUCCCGUCGGCCCUUGAAAAUCCGAGUGAGAGAUAGUGAUUUUCGUGCCGGACCGUACCCAUAUCCGCAGCAGGUCUCCAAGGUGAACAGCCUCUAGUCGAUAGAAGAAU
rnacentral:rRNA from 1 species